AUUGAACGCUGGCGGCAGGCCUAACACAUGCAAGUCGAACGAGUGGCGGACGGGUGAGUAAUGUCUGGGAAACUGCCCGAUGGAGGGGGAUAACUACUGGAAACGGUAGCUAAUACCGCAUACCAUCGGAUGUGCCCAGAUGGGAUUAGCUAGUAGGUGGGGUAACGGCUCACUUAGGCGACGAUCCCUAGCUGGUCUGAGAGGAUUACCAGCCACACUGGAAUGGAGGCACGGUCCAUACCCCUACGAGAGGCGGCAGUGGGGAAUUUUGCACAAUGGGUGCAAUCCUGAUGCAGCCAUGCCGCGUGUAUGAAGAAGGCGUUCGGGUUGUAAAGUACUUUGAGCGGGGAGGCGGUACUCACAGAAGAAGCACCGGCUAACUCCGUGCCAGCCGCCGCGGUAAUA
rnacentral:rRNA from 1 species